UACGUAGGGGGCAAGCGUUGUCCGGAUUUAUUGGGCGUAAAGAGCGUGUAGGCGGCUAGGUAGGUCCGUUGUGAAAACUCGAGGCUCAACCUCGAGACGUCGAUGGAAACCAUCUAGCUAGAGUCCGGAAGAGGAGAGUGGAAUUCCUGGUGUAGCGGUGAAAUGCGCAGAUAUCGGGAAGAACACCCGUGGCGAAGGCGGCUCUCUGGGACGGUACUGACGCUGAGACGCGAAAGCGUGGGGAGCGAACAGG
rnacentral:rRNA from 1 species